rnacentral:rRNA from 1 species
UACGUAGGUGGCAAGCGUUAUCCGGAAUUACUGGGUGUAAAGGGUGUGUAGGCGGGAAUGCAAGUCAGACGUGAAAACUUAAGGCUCAACCUUAAGCCUGCGUUUGAAACUGUGUUUCUUGAGAGUGGGAGAGGUAAACGGAAUUCCUGGUGUAGUAGUGAAAUGCGUAGAUAUCAGGAGGAACACCGGUGGCGAAGGCGGUUUACUGGACCACAACUGACGCUGAGACACGAAAGCGUGGGGAGCAAACAGG